rnacentral:rRNA from 1 species
AACGAACGCUGGCGGCAGGCUUAACACAUGCAAGUCGAACGAUCCCUUCGGGGAUAGUGGCAGACGGGUGAGUAACGCGUGGGAAUCUACCCCAAGGUACGGAAUAACAGUUGGAAACGACUGCUAAUACCGUAUGUGUCCUGCGGGACAAAGAUUUAUCGCCUUGGGACGAGCCCGCGUUGGAUUAGCUAGUUGGUGAGGUAAUGGC